CGCUGGCGGCGUGCCUAACACAUGCAAGUCGAGCGUGCAAGUUCCGGAACGAUACUUCGGUAAAGGGAAGGAGCUGAAAGCGGCGGACGGGUGAGUAACGCGUAGGUAACCUGCCCCAUACACAGGGAUAGCCUAGGGAAACCUGGAUUAAUACCUGAUGACGCGAAGGAGUCACAUGGCUUCUUCGCCAAAGAUUUAUCGGUAUGGGAUGGACCUGCGUCUGAUUAGCUAGUUGGUGGGGUAACGGCUCACCAAGGCAACGAUCAGUAGCCGACCUGAGAGGGUAAUCGGCCACAUUGGAGCUGAGACACGGUCCAAACUCCUACGGGAGGCAGCAGUGGGGAAUAUUGCACAAUGGGCGCAAGCCUGAUGCAGCAACGCCGCGUGAGCGAAGAAGGUCUUCGGAUCGUAAAGCUCUGUCCUUGGGGAAGAAACAAAUGACGGUACCCAGGGAGGAAGCCCCGGCUAACUACGUGCCAGCAGCCGCGGUAAUACGUAGGGGGCGAGCGUUAUCCGGAAUUAUUGGGCGUAAAGAGUACGUAGGUGGUUUUGUAAGCGUGUGGUGAAAGACCGGGGCUUAACUCCGGUUAGCCAUGCGAACUGCAAGACUUGAGUGCAGGAGAGGAAAGUGGAAUUCCUUAGUGUAGCGGUGAAAUGCGUAGAUAUUAGGAGGAACAUCCAGUGGCGAAGGCGACUUUCUGGACUGUAACUGACACUGAGGUACGAAAGCGUGGGUAGCAAACAGGAUUAGAUACCCUGGUAGUCCACGCCGUAAACGAUGAGCACUAGGUGUCGGGGUCGCAAGGCUUCGGUGCCGCAGUUAACGCAUUAAGUGCUCCGCCUGGGGAGUACGCACGCAAGUGUGAAACUCAAAGGAAUUGACGGGGACCCGCACAAGCAGCGGAGCAUGUGGUUUAAUUCGAAGCAACGCGAAGAACCUUACCAGGGCUUGACAUCCCUCUGACCGGCCGGUAACGCGGCCCUCCCUUCGGGGCAGAGGUGACAGGUGGUGCAUGGUUGUCGUCAGCUCGUGUCGUGAGAUGUUGGGUUAAGUCCCGCAACGAGCGCAACCCUUGUCAUUAGUUGCCAUCAUUAAGUUGGGCACUCUAGUGAGACUGCCGGGGACAACUCGGAGGAAGGUGGGGAUGACGUCAAAUCAUCAUGCCCCUUAUGUUCUGGGCUACACACGUGCUACAAUGGCCGGUACAGAGAGACGCAAUGUCGCGAGGCGGAGCAAAACUCUAAAACCGGUCUCAGUUCGGAUUGCAGGCUGCAACUCGCCUGCAUGAAGUCGGAGUUGCUAGUAAUCGCGAAUCAGAACGUCGCGGGAAUGGUNNCG
rnacentral:rRNA from 1 species